rnacentral:rRNA from 1 species
UACAGAGGUCUCAAGCGUUGUUCGGAAUCACUGGGCGUAAAGGGUGCGUAGGCUGCCCGGAAAGUCAGAGGUGAAAUCCCGGAGCUCAACUUCGGAAUUGCCUCCGAUACUCCCGUGCUUGAGGACUGGAGAGGAGUCUGGAAUUCACAGUGGAGCAGUGAAAUGCGUAGAUAUUGUGAGGAACACUAGUGGCGAAGGCGAGACUCUGGACAGUUCCUGACGCUGAGGCACGAAGGCCCGGGGAGCAAACGGG